AGUGAACGCUGGCGGUAGGCCUAACACAUGCAAGUCGAACGGCAGCACAGUAAGAGCUUGCUCUUACGGGUGGCGAGUGGCGGACGGGUGAGGAAUACAUCGGAAUCUACUUUUUCGUGGGGGUUAAGGUAGGGAAACUUACGCUAAUACCGCAUACGACCUCCGGGUGAAAGCAGGGGAUCUUCGGACCUUGCGCGAUUGAUUGAGCCGAUGUCGGAUUAGCUAGUUGGCGGGGUAAAGGCCCACCAAGGCGACGAUCCGUAGCUGGUCUGAGAGGAUGAUCAGCCACACUGGAACUGAGACACGGUCCAGACUCCUACGGGAGGCAGCAGUGGGGAAUAUUGGACAAUGGGCGCAAGCCUGAUCCAGCCAUACCGCGUGGGUGAAGAAGGCCUUCGGGUUGUAAAGCCCUUUUGUUGGGAAAGAAAAGCAGCAGGUUAAUACCCCGCUGUUCUGACGGUACCCAAAGAAUAAGCACCGGCUAACUUCGUG
rnacentral:rRNA from 1 species